UGUACCGUGACGCUCGCCGCCGUAAUGCAUCUGACAUUGCUUUUCACCCCUUGAGGAACGCCUGAGCAUCCGCCCAUCUGCAUCGGCUGUUAUUCAGCAGCACCCCCCCCCCCCAAAAAAAAAAAAUCACUGCAGGUGUAAACAAACCACUAGGGAGGCGGCUAAAAAAGAAAAAAAAAUAAAUCAAAUAAUUAAGAGUGCAAACAAAGAGCAGCGUCAACUUUAUUUCCAUCCACUCGGGGGAUGUUGGAGGCACUGCAUGCAUAAUGCACCGCGAGUGUGGUGGCACGUGCGGGAUAUUCAUUCGCUCAAGGAUGACGGUCGACUCUUCUUCUCGCCAAGAUAAGGGAAAACACUUUCAAGGGACUUUGUUUUCUGGAAACGGAUAAAAAACUGUGAAACAAACUACCUCAGAAGGGAGGGAGGCAUGCUGGGAAAUACGGUCUUUGAUCUUGAAUGAAUCCAACUAUCGAUGGUAAGAACCUUUACUUGACUUCUCCUAAAUGUGGAGACGCGAGAAGGACAAAUCAGUCUUCACGUCCUCCACAGUGGCGGGAUGCAAAAAAAUUCUCUGAAAAAUACGA